GUAGAAUGAAGGUGGCAACACUGGCUAGCUCAAGACGCCGCACCGCAGGAUGAAAACAAACGUGAGGCACUGAUGGCUGGUGACCGCUAAGUCUGCCCGCCCCUCGCCCUCGCCACACACUGCACAGGGAGCACUCACAAACCGUAGCUAACACAGGGAAAGGGAUAUAAAGUAUUUAGGUGACCUUCAUCCUGCGGGCUGUGUAUGAUGCAGCUGAUACCUUUGGCCUGAUGUGGGAGAGGAGGAACAGUAGCCAUGUAUAACUUAUGCAAGAUAACCCACCCAGCUCUUGGGGUGGAGCUGUCCCUCUACUGUAACUUCUUUAGCCACCGAGAGAAGUCCUUGGUGGUGGCAGGUUCCAAUGUCAUCAGGGUGUUCAGGCUGGUGGCAGAGGUGCCUCUUAGGUCUCUCCGGGAUGACAGUGCUAACCAAGAUGACAAACCCCCAAAAGUCAAGCUGGAGUGCAUGGCCACCUACAAGCUGCACGACAACGUGGCCACCAUGGCCUCCGUGUCCCUCUCCCCGCUGAGGGAUUCACUCCUGCUGGGCUUCAAGGAUGCCAAGCUGUCUAUUGUGGAGUACGACCCUUACAACCACAACCUGCGCACUGUCUCCCUCCACUACUUUGAGAAGGAGGACAUCAAGGGCGGGUGGCUGCAGACGGUGUCACUGCCGCUGGUGCGCGUGGAUCCUGAGGCGCGGUGUGCUGCCAUGCUCAUAUACGGCAGGAAGAUUGUCAUCUUGCCAUUUCGCCGCGACCUCAAGGGCGACGACGUGGACUACAACUCUGCCUUCUCCCGGGGCCCUGUGCUGCAGUCCUACAUCAUCGACCCCAAGGACUUUGAGGCGCCGAGCAUUGACAACAUAAUAGACAUGCAGUUCCUUCAUGGCUACUAUGACCCAACACUGAUGCUUCUCUAUGAGCCCAUCAAGACCUUCCCGGGUCGUGUUGCUGUGAGGCAGGACACCUGUGCCCUGGCUGCCAUCUCCCUCAACAUUCGGCAGCGCCUGCACCCCGUCAUUUGGUCCAUAUCGUGUCUCCCCCACGACUGCGAGAAGCUGCUGGCGGUGCCCAAGCCCAUUGGGGGAGUGCUGCUCUUUUCCUGUAACUCCCUCACCUACCUCACCCAGUCUGUGCCUCCCUACGGGGUUUCCCUUAACUCCAUGGGAGACAAGAACACCAACUUUCCCCUCAGGAAGCAGGAGGGGGUGGUCAUAUCCCUGGACUGUGCCCAUGGAGAGUUCCUGACAGAGGACAGGGUGGUCAUCUCCCUGAAGGGCGGAGAGCUGUACGUCCUCACGCUAGUGGCCGACUCAAUGCGUUCUGUCCGCAGCUUCCACUUUGACAAAGCUGCUGCCUCUGUGCUCACCUGCAGUAUGUGUGUGUGUGAGGACCAGUACCUGUUCCUGGGCUCCCGACUUGGGAACUCCCUCCUGCUGCGCUACACUGAGAAGGAGCUGCACGACCCCAUGAGAUCCAAGGGCAACGUCCCCUCCGACCAGGAGCCGCCCGUCAAGAAGAGCAGGCUGGACACACUGGGUGACUGGAUUGCCAGUAAUGUGGAUGACAUUCGAGAUGAUGAUGCCCUGGAGGUGUAUGGUCAUGAGGACACCUCCACUGUACAGCUCACCUCCUACAGCUUUGAGGUGAUGGACAGCUUACUCAACAUUGGUCCAUGUGGGGAUGUGGCCAUGGGUGAGCCGGCCUUCCUGAGCGAGGAGUACGACAACUCUGUGGACCCGUGUGUUGAGCUGGUCACCACCUCAGGGCACGGCAAGAAUGGGGCGCUGUCCAUCCUGCAGCGGUCCAUCAAGCCUCAGGUGCUGACAACCUUUGACCUGCCUGACGUGGAGGACAUGUGGACGCUGGUGGGGAAGGUGGACGAGAGGCGGAGGCGAGAAACAGGCCUGCUGGACCACUCCUUCCUCAUCCUGUCCCGCUCUGACUCGUCCCUCAUCCUGCGCACGGAGGAGGAGAUCAACGAGCUGGAGGAGUCUGGCUUCAACACCACUUCCAAGACCGUGUUUGCUGGCAACAUGGGCAACAACAGAUACAUUGUGCAGGUAACCAGUGGAGGGGUAAGGCUGCUGGAAGGCACAGUACAGCUGCAGCACCUGCCUGUGGAUGUUGGUAGCCCACUGGUGGCGGCAUCACUGGCCGACCCGUACCUGGCAGUGCUGGCCCAGGACGGCACACUCAUGAUCUUCACGCUGGCCACCACCCGCGCCUCCACUGCAAGACUGUCCCCAGCCAAGCCCAUCAACACUGGCAGGUCACCACUGCAGACCAUCUGUGCGUACUGUGACGUGUCUGGGCUGUUCACGACGCGCUACCCUGAGGACCGGGAGAAGGACCCCAAGCUGUUCCGGACUGAUGCAGACAUCAAGAAAGAGCUGGACGACGAGGACGAGAUGCUGUAUGGCAACACUGACAUCUCAGUGUUCGACCCACCCAAGACCUUCAACCCCCAGGCUGGCCAGGAGAAGACUAAGAAUGACUGGUGGAGGAAGUGGCAGAAGGAGAUCCGGCCGUCCUAUUGGCUGGUUGGGGUGAGGGACAACGGUGACCUGGAGAUUUACACGCUUCCUGAUUUCAAGUUGUCAUAUUCUGUUAAAAACUUCUGGCUGGGCCAGAGAGUGUUGACAGACAGCUCAGCAAACACCACCUCCACUCAGGCAAAUCCAACGCUGGAAGUCAAUAUCCCAACCAUUCAUGAGGUGUUGCUUGUGGGGAUGGGCAACAGGAACCUCCGCCCAGUGCUGCUGGCUCGUGUGGAGGAGGACCUGCUCAUGUACGAAGUGUUCCCCUUCUACGAGAACCUUAGUCCCACACAGCUCAAGAUCAGGCUGAGACUCAUUGAACACAACCUCAUCCUGCGGGAGAAGCGGUCAAGCAGGAACAGGAGGAAAGCUGAGGAGGAAGGCGGCAGUGGCCAGGAGAGGAAGAUUGACCGUGUGAGCAAACUUCGCGGCUUCAGCAACAUCAGCGUGUACAGCGGGGUGUUCAUCUGUGGACCGUAUCCUCACUGGGUGUUCAUGACAGUGCGCGGUGAGCUGCGUUAUCACCCCAUGAGUGUGGAUGGCUCUGUCAAGUGCUUUACUCCCUUCAGGAACAUCAACUGUCAGAAUGGCUUCCUCUACUUCAACCGCAAGGACUCCAUGAGAAUCUGUCUGCUGCCCACCAUCCUGUCCUAUGACGCUCCCUGGCCAGUGAGGAAGGUGCCCCUGCGUUGCUCUCCUCACUUCAUUGUCCAUCACCUGGAGACCAAGACCUACUGUGUCGUCACCUCCACCUCCGAGCCGACUCUCAAGAUCUGGAAGUUCAAUGGAGAUGAUAAGGAGGAGAUUAAGGAGGAACGAGACGAAAGGUUCAUUCCAGUUCAGGCACCGCUGUUCUCCAUUCAGCUCUUCUCCCCUGUCAACUGGCAGAUGAUCCCAAACACUGAGUACUGCCUGGAGCCUUGGGAACAUGUCACCUGCUGUAAGAAUGUCAUCCUGGCCUACGAGGGCGACCGGUCCGGCCUCAGAGGUUACCUGGCCCUGGGCACCACCUACUGUUUUGGUGAGGACAUUACCUGUCGUGGCCGCAUCAUCAUCUUUGAUGUGAUUGACGUGGUGCCGGAGCCAGGCCAGCCUCUCACUAAAAACAGGCUCAAAAUGCUGUACGAGGGGGAGCAGAAGGGCCCCGUCACCGCCCUGGCUCACUGCCGCGGCUUGCUGGUGUCAGCCAUUGGGCAGAAGGUGUACAUCUGGCAGCUGAAGAACACAGACCUGGUGGGCAUGGCCUUCAUCGACACCCAGAUCUACACCCACCAGCUGAGCUGCAUCAAGAGCCUCAUCCUGGGUGCUGACAUCUGCAAGUCCAUCUUCAUCCUGCGCUUCCAGGAGGAGAACAGAACGCUGUCGCUGGUGGCAAGGGACCACAAGCCGCUGCAGGUGUAUGGUGUCCAGUACUUGGUGGACAACACCACUCUGGCCUUCCUGUGCAGUGAUGCGGACAAGAACAUGGUGGUGUUCACUUACAACCCAGAGUCCCAUGAGAGUGCAGGAGGCACCAGGCUCAUCAGGAAGGGAGAUUUCCACUUGGGCCAUCAUGUCAAUUCCUUCUUCAGGAUACGGUGCCGCGUUGGGGAUGUGUCGGGUGAGCGCCGUGCCGGGCAGAACAUUGAGCGGCGCCACAUCACCGAGAUGGCCACGCUGGAUGGCUCCUUGGGCUAUGUGCUUCCCGUCAGUGAGAGGACCUACCGCCGCUUCUCCAUGAUCUACAACCUGCUGGUGCAACACUUGCCACACAUUGCAGGCCUCAAUCCCAAGGCGUGCCACACAGUCCAGUCCCGCCAGAAGCUAAACAUCAACCCUGCUCGUGCCAUAUUGGACGGGGAGCUCAUCUGGUCCUUUCUCCACCUCCCUGUCCCAGAGAAGGCCGAGAUUGCGAAAAAAAUUGGAGCAAAAGUUGAUGAUAUUAUUGAGGAGUUAAUGGAACUAGAUAGGAUGACAGCACACUUUUAGCUCCAGGGGUCAAGUGAACUGAGACCAGUGAAGGUGAUGUCUGCUUAUUUUUAAAGAUGCCUUUAUUUUUCAUACAAGUCAGUGUUCAGAAAGUAUGUACACCACAACUCAGUCAUGAUCUUAAUCCAGAUUUGGAAUUAUGUUGAUAGUAAGCAUUGUGAAGCUAUGAAUCUGGGAGAAAAAGGAAUAUGAAUAGUGAGAAAAGAAACUAGCAAAAAGAUAAUCAUGAAGCACUUGUUGCUGCUGCUGCCACUUACGGAUAGACUGAGAGAUGAGCCAGGGAAGACAGUGCCCAUCCAGAGCCCAUCCUUCUAUCCUGCAUGUGAGUUUGGAUGCAGUCUGUUCAGGAUGUGCUGGAAAUGUAAAGGUGUCUCUGAUCAUUGUGCCCUUCAGUCACAAGUUACAGCUAUAACCACCACCACCAUCACCAUCACCACCACCACUACCACCACUACCACCACCACUACCACCACCACCACCCUGGGAAGUACAGCAAGGCAGACCUGCCAUGCUUUCAGCCACUAUAAAGGUGGUGGAGAGGCACAGUACACUGGCUGAGGAACCCCCAACCUUUGGGAGAGUAGACUAAGGAAGAACCAUAGAGAGCAUCAGAGUUACACUGCAGGAGUAGAGAAAAUAAGUCAACAGUAUCAGACAUUUUGUAAAGAGGGACAUGCAUUCGGAGAUGUUGGAAAGUCCACAUGGUGCUUGUAGGACAAACAUUCUUGGUGGGGGAGACACUGAAGUAGAGCAGAACUGAAUAAUCCUGAGUGUAGAAACCAAGUCAUUCACAUGGAAGGAAAGGAACCUCAUAGGAUGACAGGAUCUGGAAGGACAUGGAAGCCUCAUUCUGUUGUACAGCGCCUCCUGCAGGUGGCGGCGGCGGCGGCGGCGGCGGGCGGCGCGGCGGCCGGUGGGUGCCGGUCUCUGCGCAGACCACGGCCUACUUAAGCCGCGGUGAGGACAGUCGCCGGCACUAAGGUCAUGUUUGUCGCGGGCGUCACAAGCCACCCCCGCAGCCAGGCGUCCACGCACCCGCAAGACACCAGCGUGCCGCACCACUCCGUGCCAGCUGACCCGCCGCUCCAGCACCCACACGCCCCGCACGCCCCGCCACGCCAAGUUGCUGCCACUCACACAUGCCGCGCUCUCUCGCCCCGGAUUAUCAUGUCUCCGCUGCCCCAGUACGUGUGACUGGAGUGACAAGCAGUACAAGUUGAUGUGUUCAGUGUGAGAUCACCCCGUCAGGAGGCGCCGGCGGGCGUGUCACACUUCGCGUGUACCUGUAGUACCUGUACCUGUACCUGUACCUGAGCUGUCCACUUCCUCGUGCGGCCCACAUCAGUAUCUGUAUGUACGCACGGCCUCCUACCGCCGCCGCUGGUACUGCUUUCUCCUAGGAGGUGCCCGGCCCUGCCCUGACGGCCGCCACCUGGCUGGCUCGCGCGGCAAGGCAAGGCGAGGUGGCCGGAGCGAGGCGGCCGCGCGGUGCGUCAGUCCGAGGUCUGCCCCCGCGGCUUGGGGUAGUGGUGGCUCCGCCGCAUACAAUACAUUCGUGGUCGUAGCGUCGCGCUGCUCGCGUGUUUCCUUGCCGGAAGGACAGCAACCGUGCCUGUAUGACUGUCAAAGGCUGCCCAGCCCCAGACGCCAUGCCUCUUCUCAUCUAGUCACUCCUGCCCAGCGCGGGACUCACAAAGCUUCGAACAGAACUGAACCAGUGCUGUGGUGACAGGCCGACUGAACCAGGCCCGAGACAGUGUGGUGUGCUCGCGUACUGAGGCAGCGAGCCCCAGCACGCCCACGUGCUCAGACGCACGGGACGAUUAGGAGAAGAGCGUUUGGGUGACAGUGCCGCAGCAGUGUGUGAGGCCCAGGGCGCGCCGCCCGCCCACCCGCCACGAUGGUGCUGCAGAA